rnacentral:rRNA from 1 species
GAUGAACGCUGGCGGCGUGCCUAAUACAUGCAAGUCGAGCGAACAGACGAGGAGCUUGCUCCUCUGACGUUAGCGGCGGACGGGUGAGUAACACGUGGAUAACCUACCUAUAAGACUGGGAUAACUUCGGGAAACCGGAGCUAAUACCGGAUAAUAUAUUGAACCGCAUGGUUCAAUAGUGAAAGACGGUUUUGCUGUCACUUAUAGAUGGAUCCGCGCCGCAUUAGCUAGUUGGUAAGGUAACGGCUCACCAAGGCAACGAUGCGUAGCCGACCUGAGAGGGUGAUCGGCCACACUGGAACUGAGACACGGUCCAGACGCCUACGGGAGGCAGCAGUAGGGAAUCUUCCGCAAUGGGCGAAAGCCUGACGGAGCAACGCCGCGUGAGUGAUGAAGGUCUUCGGAUCGUAAAACUCUGUUAUUAGGGAAGAACAAAUGUGUAAGUAACUAUGCACGUCUUGACGGUACCUAAUCAGAAAGCCACGGCUAACUACGUG